GAAAGGUUCGGAAAAUUUUCGUAUUCAGUCCUAUAAAGGGAUAAAAGGUAAAAUCGGAUUUUAUCGGAGGGUCGAAAGAAUCGUUGAAAUUGAUGCGACUAAAGAGAAUCAAUGUGUCGUCGGUCCAACGAUCGGCCAGGCGAUCCUAAGUAAGUACCCUUGUUUCGUUCCAGAAAAGAUAAGAGAUAAUCGCGAGAGAAAGGGAGUUCGUGGAAUACGUCAUUUCGCUUUGCCUUCGUUGCAAGGAAGACCUCUCUGUGUACGAAGGAUUAACAAUCUUUCCUCUCUAAAGUGACAGAGAGAUAGAGAAAAGCUCUGGAACGCAGAAAGCCGUCCGCACGGUUCUGAGGACGAGGCGCCAGGACGAGGCGCCAUUGGAAGAGUCAUUCGAAGAGCCAUACGAAACGCUCGUUGAAAGGACCGAAGAGGAAAAAGGGCGAGGCGCGCUCCGCUUCGUUUCCAUGACGACCAAUCAUUACCGAAGAUCGUACCGCCACCUAUCCGUACCCUCUCUUGCCACAAACCACCGAAACCACCCUCUCUUCUACCCCUCCCUGACCGACCGUCCAACUAUCACCCUUCUGACUACGGACUUACUUUCACGUAUUCUUAUUUUCUUUCUACCAAAUAUUUAUGAAAACGAAUCUAAUCGCUUUCUUUUAUAAUUAUACAAUUUGAUUAUCCUCUCUUCUUAAUGAUAUUUAUAUAUAUAUAUAUCUUUCCUCCUUGUUUUUCUUACGUAGGAAAUUGUUAUAAAUAAUUGUGGCAAAUUAAAUAUGAGGAAAUUAUUCAAAUGAAAUUGAUUCGUACGACGGCUUCGAUGGGAAUAACAAAUUUGUCGAUCGUUCUGCCAUUUUUGCAUAUGCGUAAUAAUGAACGAUAUUAUUUUUGUCCUUACGCAAAUCGAUGAAUGCAAAUACGUACGUCUCGCGAGAGUUUCCAGAGAGAAUAAAUUUGUACGUAGAUACGUAACUUACAUAUGUGCUUUGUAUUCGAUCUACUGUAUCUAUGUACUCGAGAAUGCAAAAAUCUCUGGACGAUAUUUCCUUAUCUUGCUAUGAAUCAUCAUUGUGUUAUAUAUAUAUUAUAUAUAUAAUAUAUACACAUAUGCUUACAUACAGGUAGAUACGUAGAUAUUUCCUAUCAUAACAAAACUAAAAAUAAUUUUACAUUCAUUUUAUAAUUCAUAACGGCCGAACAUUAUUCACUGACUGCUAAUGGAAGAUUAAUAUCCAUGUUUUUCA